rfam:Youngiibacter fragilis 232.1 contig_89, whole genome shotgun sequence.
UCCAUCGCGAGGUGGAAUCUGAAGGAAGCCGGAUGUCAGGGCGAGGAGUUCUGGCGGGCAAAUUUUCGGGCCGACGAACAGAAAUCUUAUAUAAGGCCGGAUUGGGACGGACGACUCUGCUAUACAAGAGAAAGUCCAAUGCUACCCGAAUCCCAUACGGUAAAUGAGGCGGCCACAUGAAAGGAAGGUUAUCGUU